CCAAGGAGUCUAACAUGCUUGCGAGUAAAUGGGUGCAAAACCCAAAUGCGAAAUGAAAGUGAAUUUGACACACGACCUGGUGACUAACGCAGCCAGUGCAGUGUGGUGUCGUCAUGAUAGCUUGCUAUAUGGCGAACACGGAGCAGUCAUGUUGGGACCCGAAAGAUGGUGAACUAUGCCUGAGCAGGACGAAGCCAGAGGAAACUCUGGUGGAGGUCCGAAGCAGUUCUGACGUGCAAAUCGAUUGUCAGACUUGGGUAUAGGGGCGAAAGACUAAUCGAACCAUCUAGUAGCUGGUUCCCUUCGAAGUUUCCCCCAGGAUAGCUGGCGCUCAAAGACUCGAAUGCAGUCUUAUCCGGUAAAGCGAAUGAUUAGAGGACUUGGGGACGAAACGACCUCAACCUAUUCUCAAACUUUAAAUGGGUAAGAAGUCUGGCUUGCCUGACCGAAGCCUAGACAUGGAUGUGAGUGCCAAGUGGGCCAUUUUU
rnacentral:rRNA from 1 species